rnacentral:rRNA from 1 species
UACAGAGGUCCCGAGCGUUGUUCGGAUUCACUGGGCGUAAAGGGUGCGUAGGUGGCGUGGUAAGUUUGAUGUGAAAGCUCAGGGCUUAACCCUGAAAUGCAUUGAAUACUACUGUGCUGGAGGUUUGGAGGGGGGACUGGGAAUUCUUGGUGUAGCAGUGAAAUGCGUAGAUAUCAAGAGGAACACCAGUGGCGAAAGGCGAGUCCCCUGGACAACACCUGACACUGAGGCACGAAAGCUAGGGGGAGCAAAACAGGG